rnacentral:rRNA from 3 species
CGACCCCAGGUCAGGCGGGGCUACCCGCUGAGUUUAAGC